rnacentral:misc_RNA from 1 species
GAUGAAGAACGUAGCGAAAUGCGAUAAGUAGUGUGAAUUGCAGAAUUCAGUGAAUCAUCGAAUCUUUGAACGCACAUUGCGCCCUUUGGUAUUCCUUAGGGCAUGCCUGUUCGAGCGUCAUUUAAACCUUCAAGCUAAGCUUGGUGUUGGGUGACUGUCCGCUUCACGGCGGACUCGCCUCAAAAUUAUUGGCGGCCGGUACAUUGGCUUCGAGCGCAGCAGAAACGCGAACUCGGGCCCGUCGUAUUGGCUCCCAGAAGCUAUCUUCACAAUUUUGGCCUCGGAUCAGGUAGGGAUACCCGCUGAACUUAAGCAUAUCAAUAAGCGGAGA